rnacentral:rRNA from 1 species
CCCAGUUCGGAUUGUAGUCUGCAACCCGACUACAUGAAGCUGGAAUCGCUAGUAAUCGCGGAUCAGAAUGCCGCGGUGAAUACGUUCCCGGGUCUUGUACACACCGCCCGUCACACCAUGGGAGUCGGAAAUGCCCGAAGUCUGUGACCCAACCGGAAGGAGGGAGCAGCCGAAGGCAGGUCGGAUGACUGGGGUGAAGUCGUAACAAGGUAAC